rnacentral:ncRNA from 1 species
UACCUGGUUGAUCCUGCCAGUAGUCAUAUGCUUGUCUCAAGAGAUUAAGCCAUGCAAGUCUAAGUACGAGCUCUCGUACAGUGAAACUGCGAAUGGCUCAUUAAAUCAAAUA